rnacentral:rRNA from 1 species
AUACGGAGGGUGCAAGCGUUACUCGGAAUCACUGGGCGUAAAGCGCGCGCAGGCGGCUUGAUAAGUUGGAUGUGAAGGCCUACGGCUCAACCGUAGAACUGCAUCCAAAACUGUCAGGCUAGAGUGUGGGAGAGGAAGAUGGAAUUAGUUGUGUAGGGGUAAAAUCCGUAGAGAUAACUAGGAAUACCAAAAGCGAAGGCAAUCUUCUGGAACACUACUGACGCUGAGGCGCGAAGGCGUGGGGAGCAAACAGGAUUAGAAACCCUGGUAGUCC